AUGAAUCACUGGUCCUUCGAUCUACAGGAUGCCACAUGGUCGGAAACAACUUCCGACUUUAAACUUGCUUGGUCAUCAAGCAAUGGCGACUAUGUUCAACUAUUUGGCAAACCUGCCAUGAAUGACAGAUUCCUUCAGAUUAAAGCUUUCAAGAUCAGGUUAAUCGAAAACUACAAUGACACCACGCACCACUACUUGUAUACCAUACACACCACAUUAGACAUUCGUAAAAGAAACACCCACAAGGCAAGAAUGGAACCUGACUCCACAGCAUCAACUGUUUUCCCAAAGGGGCCGUCAAUUACCCCGUCAGAGGUGCCCUUGCAUUCGUCAACAAAGGACAAGAUAUUUGCCAUCCUGCGAGACCCAGCUUACCGCAUGGCGUUAGCUUGA
rnacentral:rRNA from 1 species